CCUACGGGAGGCAGCAGUGGGGAAUAUUGCACAAUGAGGGAAACCCUGAUGCAGCGACGCCGCGUGAGUGAAGAAGUACUUCGGUAUGUAAAGCUCUAUCAGCAGGGAAGAAAAUGACGGUACCUGAGUAAGAAGCCACGGCUAACUACGUGCCAGCCGCCGCGGUAAUACGUAGGGGGCAAGCGUUAUCCGGAUUUACGGGGGGUAAAGGGAGCGUAGACGGCAGUGCAAGUCUGGAGUGAAACGCGGGGGCUCAACCCCCGGACUGCUCUGGAAACUGGAAGGCUGGAGUGCAGGAGAGGUAAGUGGAAUUCCUAGGGUAGCGGUGAAAUGCGUAGAUAGUAGGAGGAACACCAGGGGCGAAGGCGGCUUACUGGACUGUAACUGACGUUGAGGCUCGAAAGCGUGGGGAGCAAACAGGAUUAGAUACCCGAGUAGUC
rnacentral:rRNA from 1 species